GACGAACGCUGGCGGCGUGCCUAACACAUGCAAGUCGAACGGCAAGGCCCUGCUAGCUGGGUACUCGAGUUGGGAAGGGGUGGGUGAGACGGGGGUACUCCGCCAUGCACUUCGGCAUAAGCCUGGGAGAAUGGGUCUUAUCCCGAAUAGCACAUACUACCUGUGUGUUGAUUCGGAAGAUUUUUCGAUUUAGGGUGAGUUCGCGGCCUAUCGGCUGGUUGGUGGGGUGAUGGCUUACAAAGGCGGCGAGGGGUAGCCGGCCUGAGAGAGUGGGCGGCGGCAUUGGGACUUAGAUACGGCCCAGACGCCGACGGGAGGCAGCAGUGGGGAAUAUUGCACAAGGGGCGCAGGCCUGAUGCAGCGACGCCGCGGGUGGGAUGACGGUCUUCGUGUUGAAGACUACUAUCGCUAGGGACGAAGCUUUUUGUGACGGUACCUAGAUAAGAAGCACCGGCUAACUACGUG
rnacentral:rRNA from 1 species